rnacentral:lncRNA from 1 species
AUGCGUCAGGAACAUUAUGCCAACUUCCUACAAUGUCCUAAUGUAUUUUUGUUUGGGCAGGCAUGGAAACCAGUUUUCAAUGGUGAGCAGGUUUUCUGCCUACUACUCCUUGCAGCCUCAUCUCCAGGGGCACUGGGAGCUACUAUAGCAUUUCAAAAAGACAUGGCAUUUUUAAAAGAGAGAGAAGGGGACUAUAUUUCCCUGCCUGAGCCUGUGGAAAUUAAGGGAGCUCACCUAGAAUCCCCAGUUACAAAAAUUCAUUUAAAGGACAGUGGAAUGUGAGUGAAAGAGCUGCCAUGUCAUUGUCAACUGUCAUAGAACACUGGGACUUGGUUCCUGUAAACUGCCAUGUAGUCCAAAUCUGUGUANUGCAAGUUAAUCGCCAGAGCUGACUGGCAGAACAAUGGCCUAGAAGGCAGAAGGGCUCAGGUUCAAUCCCUGCCGUUACCCCAAAGAGGGCAAUAGCAAACCAAUGCUCCAUCAAUCAAGAAAACUGCAUGGAAGGGUUCAUAUCGCCACAGAAACUUGUCCUGAGCUGUUGGUACCUAACAUUAGCAGCAACCUGGAAGACCAAAGAGUAGGGAAAGCGAGGAGGCCUCGCCUACCAGUGCAAAUCAACAAUACAAGAGGUGAAAUUGCCUUAAUCAGCUUUCCAGGAUUGCAUCCAACAAGGGAAGUCACAUUUUAAGGCCAAGUACAAUGACCACUGCUGAACAAAAACACGUUGCUCUAGAGGCUACUUUGAUACUUCUCCACAAGAGCCAAGGUCAGCCGGCUCAGGCUACAUCCGAACACAUGGAAAAGGGCCUUGAAAGCAACUUAAUGUGGAUUAGAGGCACCCUUGUGUGGAUGCUACCACCUCUAAGCUGCUUUUGAGCCAGUUUGUUUUUUACUGUGUGCAGUUGCNGACUUAGGCUGUGUUCAGAUGUCCACAGAAUUUUUUCACGUUGGGUGGAGAAGCCCUCAGGGCAGUAUGCUUACAUUGUUCCCCAACCUGAAGUCCCCAGUGCGGCUUGGGGAAGAGGGACAGGGCGCACUGACAUCAGAGCAAAUGGGAGUGGCCAUAGCUCAGUGGCAGAUCGCUUCAGGGAAAGCAGCAGGUUGCAGUUUCAAUGGCCAACAUCUCCCCAAAGAGGCGUACUGACAAACCACCUCUGUGUCAUUGNCAGGAAAGCUGCACAAAUGCACUCAGGAAGCCACCUGGAACUGAGCCUGAUGGAAAAGGCACCUUUACUUUUAAUAGCCUACCUAAUAGUCAAG